AGGAUUCCUCAUCUUGAGGCCUUAGUGUUCUGAUAGCAGCCUGGACCAACUCCUCGCGGAUAAUUGGUAAUUAUUUUUGCUUCUGAACCGCCAGGUCCGGUGGUUAUCAAGAUUAAAUUGGAGCACAACAGUUUGCCAUAAUUCUCGAGUAUUUGUUACCACACUGAAGAUAUCUUGAUAACCGGUUUUUUUCAACAAUUUGUUCCUCGCACUUAGCGAUGGAGUUUUGAAGAUAAGUUCAAACUAGUCUACUCGGGCAUACCAACGCUGACUGCUGAUAAUCUAAGUUUGAAAUUGCUGAUAAUCUAAGUUUGAAAUAAAGGGUAGAAGCAGAGUAUGUUAUAGCAGUGAAUAAAUUUCGAAAAGUC